CUUUAACUUCACCAAAGUGAUCUAUGAUAAAACUGAGGCUGCAAGAAUUUAAGUGACUUGCCCAAGGACACAUCAAGACUUGAACUCAGGAAAGUCUGGCCACAAAGGCUGGCGGCUCCCUGUCCACCUGGCUGAAGGGAACAUCCCCUGUUCUAGUGUUUGGGCCUGUCCUCUCAUUCCCCAGAGGAGCCCCCUUUCCCAGAAAGGAAGAAAGCCUGAGAUUUUCCUUCCUUAGACUUGUCGUCAUCACGCACCGCCCUGCUUCCAUCUUCCCUUCAAAAAGAAAAAGAAACCAAUCUGUCAGUUUCUGGGACUUGUAGUUGACAGACAUGCCGUUUUAUUCAAUUCAUGACCUUGUCUGGAUAUUUCCUUCUCUUUUAUGAACUCCCAGGGAGCACAUGGGAAUAAGCACAAGAUGUGGGAUCAAGAAGCCUGGGUUCAAGUCGUGGCUCCUUAGCUCAUAGACGCAUGAUUACAAGCAAACCUCAAUUUCCUCCUUGGGCUAUUGGGAGAACCAAGUGAAAUGAUGCAUGUGAAAUGCUUUGUGAGCUGAAGAGCCCUAUGUAUCUAUUCCACAACACCAACCCAUUCUCCCUAGUCAGUCAGAAUUGAGUCCAGAAUAACUGUCCCCCAUGUUGCCUCCUCCACAUUAGGGGAGAUGAAGCUGUCGACAGGGAAGUGGGGAAUCCAUCAGAGGUCUGCUGUGAGCAGAACCACCUGCCUGCCCUGUCAGGGCUGGAGUCAGAGCCAGGCAAGAUGGCUCGCGUUUAUAUAGGGCUUUGCAGUUUACAAAGCACAUCGACAUCUAUUACCUGGUUUGCUUCACACCACUCUACGAGGCAGGCAGAGUGGACAGCAUUAUCCCUGCUGGUCAAAAAAGAAAGCUAAGUCUUCAGAGAGGUAAGUUGUCCAAAGUCUCAUAGUUACCAUUGGAGAGCCGGGCUCAAACCCUGGUCUUGCCUUGGUGGGUGACUGCUGCCUCUAGUUCUGGAAGGGCAGGUCUGUGGUCCACAGCACAGCUACCUCACUCUGCUCAACACAUGGACUAGACUGGAGAGCAUAAUGAGAAACUGUAUAAAUCAUGCAUAAAUGUGUCGUUUUUUAUAAAUUGUGUAUAUAGUUAUGUAUAUAAAUUAAACAUAAAUUAACUUCAAUUAGGCAGUUUUGUCUUCAUUUCAAAUUGGGAACAUCUCAAACAUUCUGGAAGGUUCUUGAAAACCCUAUCAGCCCUAAGCACAGUGUCAAUAGAGCCUAAAGGUUAAAACCACCUGCUCCCCCAUCCCCAU
rnacentral:lncRNA from 1 species